CCGUGGUGACGGUGACCCCGCUGCUCAGCUUCUCCCCCCCCCUCAUUCCCCUGCGCGACGUCGACUGCGCGGCCACCGCCGGCCCCCCCGUGAAGCUCCGGCUCUGCCUCCAGCCCCGCCUGGACACCAAAUCCUACACAGGACAGCCGGUGGUGCCCCUCGCCUUCCACGUGGCCGUGGACCCCCAGCGGGUUCGGGGCCGGGGGGUGCUGGGGGCCGGGGGGCGGCACUGGGACGGGCGCCUGGAGCUGCGCGGGGAGGAGGAGAAGUGCCUGGAGGAGACGAUGCGCGUCCUGAUCCCCUUCGAGAAGAACUGCGGGGCCGACGAGGUGUGCGAGGCCGAUCUGAGGGUCUCGGAGGUGCCGGGGGGCGCGGUGCUGGUGGGGGCCCCCGGCGUGGAGCUGGCGGUGACCCUAAAACUGCAGAACCGGGGGGAGGACGCCUACGGGGCCACCCUACGCCUCCGCCACCCGCGGGGGCUCUCCUUCCGCAGGGCCGGAGCCACCCAGGUGAGAUUUGGGGGCUUCUCUCCCCGGGGAGCCCCCCCCUGGCUCCCACCCCUCGUGCUGAAGGCACCGGGGGGCAACGGGGGGGGGGGGCGCCCCCAAACCCCCGGCCGGGGGCCCCCCCAGGACCACGGAGGCCAGGUCAACCCAGGGCAUGGUCUCAGAGGCCAGGUCAACCCAGGGCGUGGCCCCGGAGGCCAGGUCAACCCAGGGCAUGGUCCCGGAGGCCAGGUCAACCCAGGCCAUAGCCCCGGAGGCCAGGUCAUCCCAGGGCAUGGCCCCGGAGGCCAGGUCAACCCAGGCCAUAGCCCAGGAGGCCAGGUCAACCUUGGCUAUCGCCAAGCCAACCCUACCGAGGUGCCGUCUACGGGGGGCUGUCACCAUUGGGGCCCCUCCCUCCCCCAGCCCACCCCAAUUUGGGACCCCCCCCACACC
rnacentral:lncRNA from 1 species